ensembl:lncRNA
CGAGGAGUCUCCGAGGGGGCGGCAGCGGCAGCGGCAGCGGAGGCCUUUGGGGGGCUUUGCGGCGGCUGGAGAGCCGCGGAACGGCUGUUGGAUGUUUCGCUUGUGCGCAUGCGCGGGGUGGAGCGUAGGCUCUUGGAGGCAGGCGGAGAGUUGGUUUUCCGGGACCUCGUGGCGCAACGGGUCAGAGGGCUGCUGAUGAGCUCUGCGCAGAGCAUUGCUUCCCUCGCCCUGCCCUGCUGUGAGCUGCACUGAGCAGAGGAACAUCGGCCCUUCAGGGUGACUUUAUGUGUCCCCUUUUCUGCCUAUCCGUGCAUUAAACACUGCAGAUGGGAGAGAUGUCCAAGACCACAUCCGAUGCACUGAUAGGACGACAGAAGGACACUGAAGCUGAGCACGACCCGGAGGAGCUCGAUGUGCAAAACAGAAGUACUGAAGUGACCUUUGAAACAAAGGACUACAAAGUGACAGCAGGCUGCAUUGCUGCCAGCAGUGAGUCGAGUGGAACAUCCAGUGAUGGCCAGGAUGAGGAUGACCAGGAUGAAACAUGCUUUGCUGUUUCUCUGUCUCCCAAAGGAAUCAGGACCAGCAGGAAAAGGCCAAAGAUAAAGAGCAAGCAGUCACCGGUGCAGAAGAAAAUGAGAAUAGUAGAAGUGGAAGAAGAGCCAUUGCUACCAGUAAAGGCGGAGGCUGCAGAAAGAGCAGCUCAGGAACAGGAGAACAGAGCAGAAGUAGCACAGGAAGCGACGGGGCAGUGUGUAUUGUCUGACAUUAUCAUGCUCGUGAUACUCAUCCUCGUUGUAUUCAUGGUCUUCACGCACCUCACUCUGGCAGUGGUGGUCACGGUCUGCUGCUGAGCUUCAGGCUGGGAAGAGAGAGAGAGAGGCAGCAGCCACGUGUCAGCAGUGAGUGCAGAACUGGAGAAUGCGUUUCUUUUCUCUCCCUGAGAUGUGCAAUGAGCUCUUCUGGUGGCCAAUUAAAGGGCUGGGAGGAGAGCGAGAAGUCGGUGCUUUGUGUGUACCUGGUGUUGCUCCAUGCAGUGGUUCCUAUCUGCUGGCAGCGUGAGCUGCUCUGCUGUUCCUCCUCUGAAGCCUGCUUGGCUCAGAGCUGGGAGCUGUGCGUGGCUUGGAGUUAACUGAGCUGCUCCAGGUGGGGUCACCCCAGUUUAGAAUCAUAGAAUCGCCAGGGUUGGAAAAGACCUCCAAGAUCAUCCAAGUCCACCCAUCCACCAACCACCAAUAUUUCUCCACUGAACCACUUACAAGAAGGCCGGGUACCAGAGGUGAUGGCAAAAGAGCAACAAGAGGUUCCUCACCUACUACUGACUGUUAUCUUUGAGAAGGUAAAGCUCCUCUAUGCUCCGGUUGUAUUACAGCUGGGGAAACACCAAGCUGGCAAGACAGGCAAUGGCUCUAACCUAAUACAAGCCAUGGAGGCUCAAGGAAGGGGUUAACCACAUAGCCUUGUCCAUCUGGAAAUGUUACUGAGAAGGGGGAAUGGUGACAGUGCCCGGUGCUGUUAUAUUGGGCCUUUGCUUUGGUAUACAAAUGUUCCUAAUUCCUUCUCUUAAAAAAAUAAUGGAGUGGGAGGAAGAAUGAGAGCAAGAUCCUGGCCAUGUGAGGUGCUGCAGCUUAAGCUGUGCUUCGAAAGGAACCUCUCAGUCUGUUGCAUAGGAGGUGGGCUUGCUGGGUGUGCUGGAAGUGACAGCCGCAGCCUCAGGCAGUGGUAGCAACCCUGAUACUGUGACCAGUCCUGCAAUGGGGUCUGCGCUCAGCUGCAAGUCUCGUUAGAGUUGGAUUUCAAUUAAAAGCACAUUCCUUAAUUCAAACUGGGGAGACACAGAGCUUCCUCCACCCCCGGAGGAGUUCGGUUUGUGCCAAGUCUCCUCCAGCUCCCUGGAAAAGGAGUGUGGCAGCGUGGGAUCCUGCCAGAGCUGAGCAGGAACUCAUCCUCCUUCCCUGGGGGUUGAGCCCAGCACGUGCUGUGCUUGUUCAUUUUAUGGAGCACAUCACCAAAACAAACACGGAGCGGUGCAGAGGUGGUGAGCUGUGCCCCAUCCCACCUCACACCCCCCUGCUCCCAGUUUCCUGGCUUCCCAGGCACUGAAGGUGAUGGUUGGGGUAUCUGUCACACAUGUGAUAACUCAGCUUGUUUUCUUGGCUAACAGCAGUGGGUCAGGUGUGAGGUAAGGAAAUAAGGUUGCAGUGCCUCUCUGUUCUUGCAUGCUGCGUACUAAAGGAGCUAUGGAGGACUGCAUUGGAACUGCUCAUGAUCAUCCCGGGUCGCCUUGGGCACCUCUAAAUACAGUAAUUCUUCCCCAUAAGGUUUUACUUUAAAUGUGUUUGGUAGGGUUUGAGGCCUCGUAGUGCCUGCUUUUGCCCUCUUCCUGUGACUCCUAUGGGAUUGUUGGUGCUCCAUCCCAUUGCCACGCACUGCCCCAGCUCUGCUGCUGACCCAUCCUGGGGACACAUCCCAAGCUCUCCGCAUCUCCAGCUUAAUGCACUGCAACCUUCUCUACCAGAGAGCUGUCAGCAAGGAUCUGUGCCUGGAGGAAACAGCCCAGGCAGAGUAAUGAGAGCAGAAUCAGUGCUAAAUGGGGAACAGCCGAAGUGCUGCAGCAUGGAGGUCAAUUGUAAGCAGCUUUGCUGUAGAAAAGCACUGUGUUCUGAGACACCCCCAGGAUGGGCGGUAGUUGGACUCAAAGAGAGGAGGCUGUAGAGGAUGAGAGGUGGUCUGAUGGGUGAGCAGCUCUUCUUCCUUCACUGUUGGCCUUGUUCUGUGUGGGGAUGGCUUUUCUCUGCUGCCAUCGUCGUCUGAGCAGCUCAGAAUGCACCCAUUGCCCCUCCUGGCUUUGCUGGGCUGAGCUCUGUGCAAACAUUGCUGGAGAUCCUGGAGCAGCCAUGGAAGUGCUUGCUGGGUUGGAUGUGAAUUGCUGCAGACGGACACAUGCAGAGCAUCACAAAGGCAUUGAGUGGUGGAGCCCGGAAUAGAACUUCCAGACCCAAUGAGAACAGGAUAAAAGCACAUUGAUGGAGAUUCAUGUGUUUGCCCAUGAAUUUGGCUUAGGGGAUCAGCAAAACAGAAGGAAGGAGAUGCUCUGGUGGAAGUAUUUCCUUGUGCCAACCUUUGAACCAAAGCAUCUGACAUUACUUCCUUUUGAAAGUGGUCUUCUUCUUAAAGCACUAAAUACUUCCCCAUGCAGCCCCCCCAGAGGAAAGGAAUAUCCUCUACAAUGUGAAUGAACGCUUUUGCCGCUAGGAAUCAAUUCACGGAUGUUAUAUUUCUGCUGAAUCAAAUCAGAAUGAUCCCAAUGCUUUCCCCCCUCCCUGUGCCCCUUUCAGACCUGCUCCUUGCAGCCCUGCUGGGUGCUCUGUCAAUGAUUAACCCCUGCUUCCUUUGAAGCCCAGACAGCAAAACCCACAGUCCAAAGUCCCUGUGCUUGCUCAGGGCUCUGCCCUUGGGCUAUAAAAACCCUCAGGUGCUCCUCUGCAUCACCACAUUGGGCUGCUGGGGCCAGCAGGUGGGGUCCCCCAUUGCAACGCAUGCUCUGAAUGCAAAGAGGUGCAGCAAAGCAUCGCUUUAUCUCCCAAUCCUGCUAACUGCAGCUGAUCUCCAGCCUCACUGCGGGCUCUUUUCGCAGCAGCUGUCUGCUCUGAGUGCCUGGUUGCAUGAGAUGGUGUCUCCCUGUGUUUGUCAGAGAGGCGCACGCAGCUGGUGGAUUUCUCCCCAUGAGUGAAGCGUUCUGAUGGAGAGAUCCCAAAGCUCUCAGCUCCUGUCUGCCUGCAUUACAGUGACUCUGUGCUGCGGCCAGCUCAGGGCCCUGCGGGAGAGAGAGCUAAUUAAUUAACUAGUUAAUUAACUGUCAGGAUGCCAGAUCUCUGCAAGAAAUGACAGGGCCAGACUGGCUGCUGCCUCCAGUCCUGCAGUGUCCAACA